UACGUAGGGUGCGAGCGUUGUCCGGAAUUAUUGGGCGUAAAGGGCUCGUAGGCGGUUUGUCGCGUCGGGAGUGAAAACUCAGGGCUUAACCCUGAGCCUGCUUCCGAUACGGGCAGACUAGAGGUAUGCAGGGGAGAACGGAAUUCCUGGUGUAGCGGUGAAAUGCGCAGAUAUCAGGAGGAACACCGGUGGCGAAGGCGGAUCUCUGGGCCGAUACUGACGCUGAGGAGCGAAAGCGUGGGGAGCGAACAGG
rnacentral:rRNA from 1 species